AUCCUUAUAGUUUAAUAAAACAUUACAUUUUCAUUGUAAAGAUAAAUUAAUAUUUUAGGGAAG
rnacentral:tRNA from 1 species